rnacentral:snRNA from 1 species
GAGAAUGAUCUGGCUAUGACAUCUACCAACUCAUUGAUCACCAGGGAAAAUUUAGCUGGUUUGGCUGGAACAAUUUUUGCUUUCAUUAACAAAUACUUAAUAAGUGCCUAUUACAUGCCUGGCACUGUGCUAGGCUGGAAGGGUGCCUUCUCCUCCUUCACAGCCUCCUGUACCACGUCCCCCUGAAGUUGUGCACUCAGCCGAAUAGUAUGACCUUUCCAUAUAGAGAAGGAUCACCCUGUGGCCAAUGAUCUACAAGUAGCUGUCUUCCUAAUGGAAGUCUAUUAACAAGUCCUAUCUGGAAACACUUCCUUCCUUGAUGCCUUUCAAGGUGCAAUCAGGA